UACGGAGGGUGCAAGCAUUAAUCGGAAUUACUGGGCGUAAAGAGCGCGUAGGCGGCAAUGUAAGUCUGGUGUGAAAUUCCGGGGCUCAACCUCGGAGCUGCACUGGAAACUACAUAGCUAGAGAUUAGACGGAGAAAACGGAAUUCCACGUGUAGCGGUGAAAUGCGUAGAUAUGUGGAAGAACACCGGUGGCGAAAGCGGUUUUCUAGUCUAAGACUGACGCUGAGGCGCGAAAGCAAGGGGAGCAAACAGG
rnacentral:misc_RNA from 1 species